AAAGAAAAGAGCGCCGUUACCCACCGCAUGCUUCUCCCUUGAUUUCUCUUUCUUCCGCAGCCCAAACAAACGAAGAACACGCUCACAAAGACAGUUCUUUAUUACUUGGGAAAGCAUGCCACAAUGUUUCUUCUUCUUAAUUUGAUUUGUUAUUAAUAGUAAUAAGUUGCUGCCAGAACUUCUGGGGUGUUAUUAUGAUAAAGAGAAGAAUCGGUAUUCCCCUCUUAAAGGUUCAAUUCCGGGUUCUUCUUCUUCUACAAACAAUGCCAUCCACAGCCAAUAACCAGGAACAAAUCUAGGAGCUGCCCUGGUCAAUUUGGAAACUGGAAUGGCAUCGUGGGUGUGUAGAAGCAAAUGUGAUGUUUUGUCUCAACAGCUCGAUCCAUCGGGGAAUGUUGUUUUAUGUGGGCUAAUAAAUGGAGCAAUUUUGACGGUUGAUGUUCGUGAAAAACAAGAAAGGGUUUCAGAUAGACUUAAUAAGGCAUAUAAUACCUUAUUCAUCACUGGGCAGACAAGGUCCCAGUUCUAGUAAACAAUGUUUUGAGGUCAAAGGAAACAUGUACUCUUCUCAUACUAUUUUUAUGCCUUUAUCUAUAUGCUGUUUGGUAUCACUUCAGUCUGACGACCAGUACUUCUUGGCCAGCUCUAAGGAUGGAUUGGCUAGUAUUGGCUCCUAGCUUGCCAUUCUUUUUACUCUUUUUGUGGAUAUCCUUUUAAUAAUGUGCUUCUGAAUGGGAGGUUGAGAUAUUCUUGUUGCAAAAGAUAAUGACCAACUUGCAGUGAAUUUCAGCUAUUUGGUCACUUUUUUUAAGGAAUUUAGUUUAGAAUUUAUAAAUUGAAUUCAAUUUCAAUUCCACCUAGGCAUGCUGGAAGCAGCCGUCCCCUCUCCCACUCAGAUUAUUAUGUAGAUUCUCCUCUUUCCUCUCUGUUUUUUUCCCCUCAAGUGUGCUUUUCUGUUUAGGGUCCAUUGGUUCAAGUUUCAAAAAAUAAAGGCAAACUGUUCUAUGAGUAGCUAUUGAGAAAGUCUAAGGAUUUUUCUUUGUGAUAGCCAAUUAAGAGCAAUUUGUUAGUGUUAAGAAUUUAUUUUUUUCCCUUACGUUCCUUUCGAAGCAAAAGGUAGAUGAAUAAAGAGGAAAAAAAAGAGCCUAAUGUUUCUUCUCAACUCAUGCAUGUUGUGUCAAUCUCAUUCAUUACACAAAACAACAACUCUAUAUCAAGAGAAUACCAUUGAACAUGCCCGAAUGCCUACUAGCAUACCUCAAUUAUGAAUAUGCAAAUUAUAACACUGGCAGUGGCAGUGGCCCUGGGUAUGGUGAUGUGGUGGCUGUGGAAGUGUAGGAGGCUAAGGUUGAGGCCGCGGUGUUGGCUGCAGAGUGGUUGCCAACAUUGUCAUUGUUAUUGUGGCUUAGGUGAACGUCAUCAUUGUUACUAAAACCGUCAUUGUUAUCAUUGAUGUCGGCACCAGCUUCAAUGUUGCUAGGCACAUUACCUUUGUUGCGGGUGUUGUAAAUGAGGUUUUGAUGGUAGUUUGAUCAUGGAAGAAGUCUGUGGUGGGUGAUGGUGUUAUAUAUGUAUAUGUACGUGGGUGUUUAAUAUGUGUUCAAAAAGGCUUUUUGAUAUUUUGCUUGCAAUUGGAGU